CGUGUAGGCGGGGAUGCAAGUCUGAUGUGAAAGCCCUGGGCUUAACCUGGGAAGUGCAUUGGAAACUGCAUUUCUUGAGUACUGGAGAGGAAGGGGGAAUUCCCGGUGUAGAGGUGAAAUUCGUAGAGAUCGGGAGGAAUACCAGUGGCGUAGGCGCCCUUCUGGACGGUUACUGACGCUGAGACGCGAAAGCGUGGGGAGCAAACA
rnacentral:rRNA from 1 species